GACGAACGCUGGCGGCAUGCUUAACACAUGCAAGUCGAACGAAACCUCCCUGUUUUUUUGCGCAGGUCUACGUGCGGCGUGGUAACUUGCCCGUGGGUUCCCUACCACUCCCUGUGGGGGAAGCUCAGGACGGUUAGUCUAUUACCACCAAAGAUUUCUCGCCUUUGGAUGGGCGCGCGUUGGUUUAGCUGGUUGGUAGGGUAAAAGCCGACCAAGGCGACGAUGCAUAGCUGGUCUGAGAGGAUGAUCAGCCAGACUGGGACUGAGACACGGACCAGACUCCUACGGGAGGCAGCAGUGGGGAAUAUUGGACAAUGGGCGAAAGCCUGAUCCAGCAAUGCCGCGUGAGUGAUGAAGGCCUUAGGGUUGUAAAGCUCUUUUACCCGGGAUGAUAAUGACAGUACCGGGAGAAUAAGCUCCGGCUAACUACGUG
rnacentral:rRNA from 1 species